CUACGGUUGACAUGUCCCGCUUAGCUUUCUGCCAUAUGGAUGCCACUGUUGGUCCCUGGAUUCCUUUGGUUUGGCUUAGGAUUAAGUCAGACUGAAAGAUGUUCUGCAGGAGUGUUUUUAACACCUACAUCUACAAACAGAUGUCCUGCCCACGGGACCAGGCUAGAGCUGGCUUGGAGCAAAACAUACAAAACCUGCCAGACCAACAUGGGUAGUGUGGAUGCUGCAUCCUGACCAUCAACUGUUUUCCUCUUUGUGGAUGUGCUUUUCUUGCACUGCGUUACUUGCUAACAUAGACAUCAGAACAAAAACCACAGCAAGGCAAGAUGCAAGCACCUGGAGCCUGCCUUUUCUCUUGACUUCAGGGCACAAGCACAUAUUAUCUUGUUGUAUUGUUUUGUGGAUGAACUGCUGCUGUGUCUCUCCUGUUAGUAGUGUCUCUUGUGAAGUCUCCUCUCUACCUGAGUAUGUUCACAUUUGUCUUCGUUACAUUUAUGAGCUCCCUCUCCUCCGAUUUCAUGAGGUUUAGUCAACUUGUCUUCUGAACUGGUUGCUCUCCAUUUAUCUAGAAACAAAUCUAAAUUAUCUGCUGCCUUUUGUAUUUUCUCCAAGUUUUUAAUUAAAAAAAUGCUAGUAAAUUUUAUUGAAAUAAAAGAAGUAUGAGUCUAAACAACAG